rnacentral:rRNA from 1 species
AAGGACCUUCUGGGUAGUCACCCACUUUCAGCGAGGAAGAACGCCUAGUGGUUAAUAAAGCAUUAGGAAAGACAUCACUCGCAGAAGAAGCACCGGUUAACUCCGUGCCAGCAGCCGCGGUAAUACGGAGGGUGCAAGCGUUAAUCGGAAUUACUGGGCGUAAAGCGCGCGUAGGUGGCUUGAUAAGCCGGUUGUGAAAGCCCCGGGCUCAACCUGGGAACGGCAUCCGGAACUGUCAAGCUAGAGUGCAGGAGAGGAAGGUAGAAUUCCCGGUGUAGCGGUGAAAUGCGUAGAGAUCGGGAGGAAUACCAGUGGCGAAGGCGGCCUUCUGGACUGACACUGACACUGAGGUGCGAAAGCGUGGGUAGCAAACAGGAUUAGAUACCCUGGUAGUCCACGCCGUAAACGAUGUCGACCAGCCGUUGGGUGCCUAGCGCACUUUGUGGCGAAGUUAACGCGAUAAGUCGACCGCCUGGGGAGUACGGCCGCAAGGUUAAAACUCAAAUGAAUUGACGGGGGCCCGCACAAGCGGUGGAGCAUGUGGUUUAAUUCGAUGCAACGCGAAGAACCUUACCUACUCUUGACAUCCUGCGAACUUGUGAGAGAUCACUUGGUGCCUUCGGGAACGCAGAGACAGGUGCUGCAUGGCUGUCGUCAGCUCGUGUUGUGAAAUGUUGGGUUAAGUCCCGUAACGAGCGCAACCCUUGUCCUUAUUUGCCAGCGCGUAAUGCCGCGAACUCUAACGAGACUGCCGGUGACGAACCGGAGGAACGUGGGUACC